GACUGUACAAAGGUAGCAUAAUCAUUUGUCUCUUAAUUGGAGUCUGGAAUGAAUGGUUGGAUGAAAAAUUUACUUUCUUUAUUUUAAAUAUAAAAUUUGAUUUUUGGAUUAAAAAGUUCAAAUAUUGAUAAAGGACGAGAAGACCCUAUAGAACUUUAUUUUUACCAAAUUAAUAAACCUUUGGUUUAUUAUUUUAAAUUAAUUUGGUAAAAAUUUUGUUGGGGUGACAAAAAAACUUUUAUAACUUUUUUUAUUUUUUUCAUUUAUAUAUGUUUAAUUGAUCUUUUAGUAGAAAAUCAAGAUUAAGUUACCUUAGGGAUAACAGCGUUAUUUCUUCAGAGAGUUCAUAUUGAUGAAGUAGUUUGCGACCUCGAUGUUGGAUUAAAAUUAGUUUUAGGAGCAGAAAAUUAAGUGACUAGGUCUGUUCGACCUUUAAAAUUUUACA
rnacentral:rRNA from 1 species